CCCCAGUGGCCAUCCACGUUGCCACCACGAAACCUCGUCCGUGGAUUUUACGUGGAUGAAUUCCACGAACCUAUUUUGCCAUUUUUUCUAGUGCACUCGUUUGGAAAUACUUUCCCUUUCGAUAUUUGACCAUUUUUGAGCAGAUUUAGUUUGAAUUUUUGGGUUUUUAGGGCAAAAUUAACGUCCGUGGAACUCACGUGGAUGAUCCCCAAUUUCCCAAAUUGAGUUUUUGAAGCUCUUUUUGUGCCUAAAUUAUCGGUAAAUGAAUUAAGUGCUCCUCUAAAGCUAUUUCAUUUAAUUUUUUCUUAAUUUUUUUGUAAAUUUUACUUCGUGGAAGGGUCUCCGUGGAUGCUCCGUGGAUGUUCCGCGGACGAUCCACGGAACUCCGUGGAUGCUCCGUGGAACUUACGUAGAUGAUCCCCAAUUUCACCAGUCAUGUUUUUCAUUACUCUUUUGUGUCUAAAUUAUCAGUAAAUGAAUUUUAAGUGCUCAUCCAAAACUAGUUUAGUUGAUUUUUUUAAAUUUUGUAAAAUUCCCCAUCGUGGAAAAUUUUUCGUGGAUGCUCCGUGGAACUCACGUGGAUGAUCCCCAAUUUCCCUAAAUCGUGUUUUUAAUUCACUUUUUGUGUCUAAAAAUUAUCGGUAAAUGAAUUAAGUGCUCCUCCAAAGCUAGUUUAUUUAAUUUUUUAUUAUUUUUUAAAAUUUUACUCCGUGGAAAAGUCUUCGUGGAUGCUCCGUGGAACUCACGUGGAUGAUCCCCAAUUUCCCAAAAGCAUGUGUUUAUAAUCAAUAUAUGUGUCUGAAUAAUAAUCGGUAAAUGAAUUAAGUGCCUCUCCAAAACUAUUUUAUUUGAUUUUUCUUUAAAAUUUUGUGUAAUUUCACUUCGUGGAAAGGUCUCCGUGGAUGCUCCGUGGAUGAUCCGCGAAUGAUCCACGGAACUCUCUUAACGCAAAAAUGAAAAAUAGCAUGUAUUUGAAGCAAAUUGUUCAGUUCAUGAGCUGCCCCUUUUCGCUUUUUUAAAUUCAUUGGUCAUGUCAUUCUUGUUUAAAUUUCUAAAUUUUGGAAAUUGGUUAAGUGUCCGUGGAGUUUUCGUGGAUGAAUCCCCGGACACUUAAAACAUUUUUGGUUCGUUGGUAUUUCCUAUAGGUACGUUAAAUUGUUAGUAUUAUUUAAUAAACCAUCAUCAAAGUUAAUUGCUAGCUCAGAAAACUCAAUAUUUCCAAAUAUAUUCUGAAAUCUACACUCGCCACCUCGCCAGAAUAGCCGCAGCCGUGUUUCAAACUUUUGAAAAGCGCGCGCACUCUUACUGGCCGCAGCAAGCCAAUGAGCGCUGCCGCUUGCCUGUUGCUGUUUGUUGACAGACGACCGCGAGCGCGCGGACGCGCGAGCCGAGCGCAACGAAAAAGCCGUUGGACGACGCCGCCGCGUAAUUAAUGUCAGUUUUCGGCCACAAUUUCGCCACUAAGUCGACCAGCAAUGUUCUUAAGUCGGUGAUUGCAGUGAAAUCCGAAUCCUGUCCUGUUCAACCCUCCCAGCAAAGAUGCCGCAAAUCAAAGACCUGUGCCAGAGGCUGACUUUUUGUGUGACAACAAUGCAACUCGAGCAAGCUGUGUCCUGAAACUUUGCGAUCCCCACACACUAUGUAAUGUAAUUAUUGAAAGGAUGUCUGGUUUGCAGCUGAAGUGCAAGAUCAAUACAAGCUAACAGGCUUGUAUACUCUGGCUGCGGCAGAUCAGGCCGACGAUGUCAAGACACGGUCAUGGAUGGGAAAAGCUUCCAGCACGAUGGAUUCCAGCCUGCACUGAACUUAUGCUGCAUUUUCCAGUCUUAAAUCUGCUGGUGCUAUUUAUGACUCGGAUGGAAUCGACGCGACUUCGGAGCUCAAAGACGAAUAGCUUACAUAAUUAUGUGACAGGACUUCUGAUUGCUGGACCACAACUUUGACGAAGAUUGAGUGGUUCAUGUGUAAUUUUGUUUUUAAGUGAGGCUAUUUUUUAGCUAAAUUGUUAUAUUUUAUGUAUAGAGAAUUCAUUUUAAGGCUGAUAGCUAUUGCAUACACAUACCUGUGUUCACUGUAAUGUUGAUAUUAAAAUUAAAUUAAAUUCCAAACAUUAUUUUAGUGAAUACAGGUAUGUGUGCAAUAAAUUUAUGUUUAAGCUGACAUUCAUUCAUUGAAUUUUCUUUGCCAGAAACGUUUAGGCAGCUGGAAAUUUUAAAUUAAAUAUUUUUGAUAGUCAUUAUAGGAUUUAAAUUUGCCAUUUGUGUAAGCCUUCAGUGUUCGAAGUCGGCGUAGCCGUAUAUACUUCCAAUUUAAAUUCCCAUUGACUUAAGUCAAGGAUUUAAUCAUGCUAUUUUAUGGGUUUUAAAUAAUUUAUUUUGAUUCUGAGAACCUAAAUCAGUUCAGCCAAUCUCCGUAGAAACAUGGAAAUAAUAUUUUUAUCAAAUCUGACGUUUCGAAGGUGAUUUGCUAGACUGACUUUUGCUUUUAGUACAUCAAAUCAAAUCAAUUAAAGGGUUUUGAAUGCAGAGCGGUAAGAUCGUGUGUCUUUAUUUUCUCAGUCUUAUUUUCUCAAUUAAAAGAAACAGCUGGCACCAUUUUUUGAGAGCAUUAUUACACUAAGGGGUUUUCGAAGCUUGUGAAUGUUACAAUUUUUAAGCUUUCUUAAUUAAUUGUCUUGUUUCUCAUAACUUUAUUGACACUACUGUAAAUUGAUAAAAAUUCUCUGUAUUGAUCUAUUGUUACUGUACAUGUAUUGUGUCAUCUUUUUGUAAUCAAAAUUGUAUAAUAAUAAAUAAAUGAAUAAAUUUAAAAUAAAUAAAUGAAUUUUAUUUGCGAUAUUAUUACCCAGAAAAAUGAAACAAUAUCCACGAAAAAUCCCCAGCGAUUCCACGUAGCCGUUCCACGGGGAAUCUCCAUAGAUCAUCCCCGUGGAAUCUUCAUAGACUAUCCCCGUGGAAUCUUCAUAGAUCAUCCACGUGGAUACCACGUAUUUCGGGCGGACAAUUUCUACGGGGAAUCCACGUGGAUCAUCCACGUGGUUUCCACGUGGGAUCCGUGGAUCAUCCACGUAGGAUCCCCGUGGAGUCCACGUGGAAUGGCCACUGGGGAU